AAGACUAUAGACCUGCGGAGUACCUGCGGAAGGAUCAUUAAAGAGAAAACUGCCCUUUGGGUAGAUUUCCCACCCUUUGUUUACUUUACCUUUGUUGCUUUGGCAGGCCCGUCUUCUGACCACCGGCUUCUAGCUGGUCCGUGCCUGCCAGAGGACCCCCAACUCUUGAUUUUAAGUUGUCCGAGUCUUAUAUAAUAGUAAAAACUUUUAGCAAUGGAUCUCUAGAUCGGAAGAGCACAC
rnacentral:misc_RNA from 1 species